AUUGAACGCUAGCGGCAUGCCUAACACAUGCAAGUCGAACGGCAGCACGAGGAGCUUGCUCCUUGGUGGCGAGUGGCGGACGGGUGAGUAACGCGUAGGAAUCUGCCUCGUAGUGGGAGACAACCCGGGGAAACUCGGGCUAAUACCGCAUAAUCCCUUCGGAGCCAAGGUGGGGACCCUCGGGCCUAACACUAUGAGAUGAGCCUGCGUUGGAUUAGCUAGUUGGUGGGGUAAAGGCCUACCAAGGCGACGAUCCAUAGCUGGUCUGAGAGGACGACCAGCCACACUGGGACUGAGACACGGCCCAGACUCCUACGGGAGGCAGCAGUGGGGAAUAUUGGACAAUGGGCGAAAGCCUGAUCCAGCAAUGCCGCGUGUGUGAAGAAGGCCUUCGGGUUGUAAAGCACUUUUAGUGGGGAAGAAAAAGACAAGGAUAAUACCCUUGGAAAUUGACGUUACCCACAGAAAAAGCACUGGCUAACUCUGUGCCAGCCGCCGCCGUAA
rnacentral:rRNA from 1 species